UACGGGGGGGGCAAGCGUUGUUCGGAAUUACUGGGCGUAAAGGGCUCGUAGGCGGCCAACUAAGUCAGACGUGAAAUCCCUCGGCUUAACCGGGGAACUGCGUCUGAUACUGGAUGGCUUGAGUUCGGGAGAGGGAUGCGGAAUUCCAAGUGUAGCGGUGAAAUGCGUAGAUAUCUGGAGGAACACCGGUGGCGAAGGCGGCAUCCUGGACCGACACUGACGCUGAGGAGCGAAAGCCAGGGGAGCAAACGGG
rnacentral:rRNA from 1 species